GAACCUUCAAGUACAAAAAUAAUGAUAUGGACUCUGGCUUCUGUUUCUACACCACAGACUCCCUAAAGCUUGGAGGAAAUACUGGUGAAGUGUCAUUCCAUACUUGUUCUCUUCUGUAUUCUUUCCUUAAUAAUCUGUUACCAGGCACUGUGGGAAACAGGACACUGAGCUAUGAGUAAAGCAUUAUUUGAUCUCAUCCAGCUCAGCCACUGUUAUGCCAUGACACUGCUCUGGAACCAGGAAAAGUUCUCCACAAAUUCUUUUCUUUGGUCAUUCACAGUGUGGAGGGAACGACCAAUGCAAAUCAAGGAAACUCAGAACAAUCAAUCAGGGGACUUAGCAAUGGACAGGGCACCUCUACUGUUGCGGAUGUUGAAGCACAAAGGAGAAAAACAAUUACUUGGCCUUCAUGCAUAGUGAAGUGUACGGAAGUUGGCGUGGCUUCUUGGCUACCUCAGACAGGUAACUGGAAAUGUCACCCACUCACUGCCAAUGUUGGUAACUCAUUAACAGAGUCAGGAACUUGUAUGGAAAAGAAUCCAAAUACAAGCAGUUUUAAAAUGCCUGUGCAUGAAGUUGUACUUCUACACAGCAAAGCAAAUUUGGAAAAAGAAAGAACUGAGUGGCAAUGACCAGAUUCUGACAAACAUUCUAAGUAUUUUAUAGUGGCCAUUGACAGCCUGAGAAGAAGUUUGCAACUCUGGAAGGACAGAGAAUGGAUCUUAGAACAGCUUUAGAUUUAGCCUAACAAAUAAUCUGUCUGUGCUGCUGCAGCUGCACUGCUCCCCACUUGCUGGCAGCCAAGGAGAGGAGAAUGUCCACACUCUGACUCCACAGAUGCUGCUUCGCAGUCUGUAAUACAAAUAGCUGGCACAGGAGAUCCACAGCAUUUUUCAUCCACAUGCACAUACACAAUAGCUUAGCAAUCCAAAACAACAUUUACUGUCAUGGAAAGUUACUGUCAGGAAUGGAAGAACUGUUGCUGAGGGAUUAAGUGGAUUACAGAAAAGAGUGUUACUGAGAAAACAUCAGGACCAAGCAGGAACAUUAAGACAACAUUACUUUUAAUAGGAAUGAUGACAUCAGGGAGCACAAGCCAUAGCAUUCCGUUUUCAAGGUUACUCACAGUGGAUGCCACAAGGAUUUGCUGGCACCAUAAACAUUCCCACCCUUCCUACACAGACUGCACGUAAGCCUGCAAAACAAGCUUGGAGUGCUGCAGGGCACUGGAUGACUGGCUUGGCAGAUGCACAGAAAAUACUUUUGCUGAAUGGAUUAGCAGAGAGUAAGACUUCAGUGAUGAUAUUAUAGAGACUUCAAGACCAAAGUAAUGGUCUGUGUUCACUGUAGCUAAAUGCUACCCUUGACAUGAGUAUAACCAAAAUGGUCUGGAUGUGGAAGCCGUCUUCCUGUUUUGUAAACCAGUCUGACUCAGGGCAAAGGUGUUUCAGUAAACAAACCAGCCCUGCUCAGUGGCUGACUAUUCUGUGCUUUGAAACACAAUUUAUGACACAUUUGCUCUCCGCGGCAGUGUUUUGACGUUUUAAUACAUUUCCACUUGUUUGGAUAGGAAGGUAUCUAUUCACAUAUCAUGAUUAUCACCCUAAUGAAGAAGAAUCAGGAACAGAAAUUGUGUGAAGCUUUCAGAGUCACAUCGGUCUUUUGAAAUAAGAAAUUAGGCCUCAGAGUUCAGAAUGCAGUGACAUACUGCAGAUAGCAAAACCUUGCUCAAUUCUGUGGUCUGCUAUGCCUCUUGCAUUUUACCAAAGCAUUUUGCAUCA